rnacentral:rRNA from 1 species
UACGUAGGGGGCAAGCGUUGUCCGGAUUCAUUGGGCGUAAAGAGCGUGUAGGCGGCCAGGUAGGUCGGUUGUGAAAACUGGAGGCUCAACCUUCAGAGGUCGACCGAAACCAUCUGGCUAGAGUCCGGGAGAGGAGAGUGGAAUUCCCGGUGUAGCGGUGAAAUGCGCAGAGAUCGGGAAGAACAUCGGUGGCGAAGGCGCUCUACUGGACCACAACUGACACUCAGGGACGAAAGCUAGGGGAGCGAAUGGG